UGAUGUUUUAACCUGCUGUUGGGAAUGCAUGAACUGAUUAAAAAGUGUUUACCCUCAAUGCAAUGCAGUCGCUUUGGAUAAAAGGACCUGCCAAAUGCAUAAAUGUAAAGAAUCGCAUGGACAUAUUGCAGCUCAGGGAAAAUCCACCCUGUGGAGAACAGUGACAGCCCAAGGACAUGUUCUGAAGGCCUUCAGACAAUUUGGAGAGGGAAAAAAAGUGCUAAAACCAUUGUAAACUCAUCAAACCAGUUUGCCGUGUACAUUGGUAUUGAUUUUCAGGAAAUGGCCUUACUUCUGUUGGCCAGGCAAGGAUCUUACUGUGAGAAUAAUGUGAACCUAACCAGAGGAUUUGCUCAAGCAUUUACCCAAACAAAGUCGAUGAGCCGUCUGUAAAUCAGUGGCUCUUUGGCUUGAGCUCUCUGACCACCAGCCGCAUCCAGUAGACUCAGUUACCAAUGUAGAGACACAAAAAUGGUAGCUGGCCUGACAAUAAAUCAGACCGUGUUGAGUUUCCA
ensembl:lncRNA